GUGCCGGUGGCUCAAAAGGGUAGGGCGCUGGUCCUAUAUGCCAGAGGUGGUGGGUUCAAAUCCAGCCCCAGCCA
rfam:Otolemur garnettii contig057523, whole genome shotgun sequence.